CCUACGGGAGGCUGCAGUGGGGAAUAUUGGACAAUGGGGGGAACCCUGAUCCAGCUAUGCCGCGUGUGUGAAGAAGGCCCUCGGGUUGUAAAGCACUUUCAGUGAGGAAGAACGCCUGGUGGUUAAUACCCAUCAGGAAAGACAUCACUCACAGAAGAAGCACCGGCUAACUCCGGGCCAGCAGCCGCGGUAAUACGGAGGGUGCGAGCGUUAAUCGGAAUUACUGGGCGUAAAGCGCGCGUAGGUGGCUUGAUAAGCCGGUUGUGAAAGCCCCGGGCUCAACCUGGGAACGGCAUCCGGAACUGUCAAGCUAGAGUGCAGGAGAGGAAGGUAGAAUUCCCGGUGUAGCGGUGAAAUCCGUAGAGAUCGGGAGGAAUACCAGUGGCGAAGGCGGCCUUCUGGACUGACACUGACACUGAGGUGCGAAAGCGUGGGUAGCAAACAGGAUUAGAUACCCCAGUAGUC
rnacentral:rRNA from 1 species